UGAACGCUGGCGGUAGGCCUAACACAUGCAAGUCGAACGGCAGCACAGGAGAGCUUGCUCUCUGGGUGGCGAGUGGCGGACGGGUGAGGAAUGCAUCGGAAUCUACUCUUUCGUGGGGGAUAACGUAGGGAAACUUACGCUAAUACCGCAUACGACCUACGGGUGAAAGCCGGGGACCUUCGGGCCUGGCGCGAAAGAAUGAGCCGAUGCCCGAUUAGCUAGUUGGCGGGGUAAGAGCCCACCAAGGCGACGAUCGGUAGCUGGUCUGAGAGGAUGAUCAGCCACACUGGAACUGAGACACGGUCCAGACUCCUACGGGAGGCAGCAGUGGGGAAUAUUGGACAAUGGGCGCAAGCCUGAUCCAGCCAUACCGCGUGGGUGAAGAAGGCCUUCGGGUUGUAAAGCCCUUUUGUUGGGAAAGAAAAGCAGUCGGUUAAUACCCGAUGUUCUGACGUACCC
rnacentral:rRNA from 1 species